GAUUUAAAAGUCUCUCUUGUUUGAAAACCAAGCAAUUUUAUCACUUGGUGACUGAUCAAGUUCUAGGUUUCACAUAUAUUUUUCUCUCACCUAUAUGAGUCUGUGUACAAGCAUAUGAAUUCAAUUAGUGAAUGAAACUAGCCACAUGAGAAAUAUAUUAAAUCUUAGUCUUCAGGUAAGGAAAAUAUAUGUUUGUUUUACUUGGAGGAUUAUGAAAUCAAAGGUUACAAGAACUACAAAAAAACAUGAAGAUAGAACAAGCACAUGACCCUAAUGAUUUUCCUAUUGAAGUUUGGAAGCUCCUUGGAGUGAACACAAUGAUUUGAUGACGAGAAUAGUUAGUAACCUAUUCAAUAAAGAAGAUGCUUGAGGGCCUAAGCAUCAGGAAAUUGUUUCUAUCUUUGAG
rnacentral:misc_RNA from 1 species